CCUCAAAAAGGAAGCGUAGGAAACCCGAAAGGCAGCGCAGAAAAAUUCUCUCCAAAUAGCAUCCCAAAAAAGAGGAAGGAAAAAAAAAAGCUCGUCUCCUUCCCCGCAGCUUGCCAGCACCCGGUAGUCGGCGAGCGAGAGCGGCCGGGCGCGAGGAUGGGGUCGAGCGAGGCGGACAAGCCGCUGCGGCGGAUCGCGGCGUCGUUCGAGGAGCUCGCCGCCGUCGCCAAGCAGCAGCCCCCAGGGGCCAUGGACGCCGCGGCGUUCUCUCGCGCCUGCUCCAACGUCUCCGUCCUCUUCGGCUGCCUCGGCAUCGCCUUCAAGUUCGCCGAGAGGGACUACGUCGCCAAGGUUGAUGAUUUGCUGGAAGCAUCCAAUUCAAUUUCAACAUUGCCCUCGAUGGUUGAGUUAGACAUUCAGAAGGACACUGUCAGGGCAGUAGGGAGCCAUACAAGGAAUCUGCUUAGAGUGAAGCGUGGUAUUGAUAUGGUUAAGGUUCUGUUUGAGAAAAUGCUGGUUACAGAGGGCAACUCGCUUAGGGAUGCAGCAUCAGUAGCUUAUGCUCAGGUGUUUGCUCCUCAUCAUGGAUGGGCCAUAAGGAAAGCAGUUGCUGCUGGAAUGUACGCUCUUCCCUCAAAGUCCCAACUUUUGAAGAAACUGAAUGAAGAUGAGGAGUCGGCAAAGGCUCAAGUGCAAAACUUCGUCAGGUCAUCAGCACCAGUAAUCCGCUACGUCGAAGACCUGUUCACCUCAAGGAAUUUGGGCAUAGAUUGGUGAAGAGAACUUGCAGAUACCUUUGAUGUACUUAUCUAGUCAGAUGAUCUGCGAGCUGGGCUCAACAAACUUUAUCCUGGUUAUCUACUACUAAGCAAUCCUGCUCUGGAGUUGUUUGUGAUGGAUAGUUGAGUAAACACUUUGCAAGUUUGAACUCAAGUUUCAUGUAUGUGAUGAUCGUCGAUGAUGAGGAAACAUAUCGGCCUGCUUUUGUAAAAUUUUCUAGAUAUCUUUGCAUCUUGCUUAUGCGUGCUCUCCUAAGAUGAUAUGCCUUAGGAAACAUAGAAUGAUAGCACAGUGAGCUUGAGUGCUUGACCCAAUUUCAUUUGCUGAAUGAAUGACCUUUCCGGAAUUCGAAGA